rnacentral:rRNA from 1 species
UACGGGAGGCAGCAGUAAGGAAUAUUGCGCAAUGGGCGAAAGCCUGACGCAGCGACGCCGCGUGGGGGAUGAAGGUCUUCGGAUUGUAAACCCCUUUCGGGAGGGAAGAUGGAGCGAGCAAUCGUUCGGACGGUACCUCCAGAAGCAGCCACGGCCAACUUCGUGCCAGCAGCCGCGGUAAUACGAAGGUGGCAAGCGUUGUUCGGAUUCACUGGGCGUACAGGGUGUGUAGGCGGUUUGGUAAGCCUUCUGUUAAAGCUUCGGGCCCAACCCGGAAAGCGCAGAGGGUACUGCCAGGCUAGAGGGUGGGAGAGGAGCGCGGAAUUCCCGGUGUAGCGGUGAAAUGCGUAGAGAUCGGGAGGAAGGCCGGUGGCGAAGGCGGCGCUCUGGAACAUACCUGACGCUGAGACACGAAAGCGUGGGGAGCAAACAGGAUUAGAUACCCUGGUAGUCCACGCCCUAAACUAUGGAUACUAAGUGUCGGCGGGUUACCGCCGGUGCCGCAGCUAACGCAUUAAGUAU